CAGCAGCAGCCAUCCUCAGUUAUCUCUCCGAGACAUCCUUAUAAAGCGUGCACUCGCGCGUCUUGAGGACCCAGGACCACAAGGCGACAGUGGUGGCGUUUAUCUUUGUGCUCUGGAACAAAGAGAAUUGAAGCAAAACAUGUGUAGGCCAGUCUGGCUGUUUUCUGCAGUAGAUUCAGUGGUUCUUGAAAAGCAUCUUGGUAGGAAACAAACUGAAAACUAGCUGACAAGGGCUGAAGGAAUCCGUUCUGUAAAAACAAGUGCCUUAAAUAGCUGGAGGUAACCUUGAUGUUUCUUAAACCCGCAUGCUGAACUUUUCAAAAACUCAGAGUAAAUCUCACUGUACAAUUCAUCAGUGUUUUAACAAUGCAAGUGCAAAUGGGUGUAUAUUCUGCUUUUAAGAAAUGGGUAUUUCUUCGACUAGUGCCUGCUUGGCGCAGGUGAAAGGGUUUAAUUGAAGCAGAUACCUGGUUUCCCAAGUGUAGGAAAGUUGUUUCCUCCCUUGAAACAGCAAGGAUAAAAAUGUGUCAGCGUUCACGUGAGGAUUUUAUCACUAUUAGUCUGGCCUCCCUGAGAAUGCUGGGCAAACAAACACUUUCACUAUUUUAGAAGGGCUGUCCUUGUUUUCAGAGUGCUGGCUUGCUAUGCUCUGGACAAAACCAGAUGGUGAACUGGACCUAGGAAAUCAGUAAAGAAGAAUUCGAAGGGAAUAGCCUGAGGUGUAGGUGGAGCAGCCCAGGAUGAAAAGAAAACUACAAGUGAUCAUGAGCUACAGAACGCAGAAAGCAGAGGGUCCCAUCAGCUGGAACUCUGCAGACUUGUUAUGCCUGCUUUAAAGUUAAGGACCCAACUGAACUAAGCUAAGAAUGCCGGUGCCCUCACCACUGCACAGUCACAGAGACAAUCCUGGUCCUGCAGAGAGAAUGAAGCUACCAAAGAUAACACAGAUACAGGAAGCUCAAGUUAAACAAAGCCACAGCAUCAUGAAGUCCUUUUCUUUAAAAAAUGAAACAGCCAUCCAGAAAGUUGUGAAGCAAAUUGAAGAGAGGCUAAGUUUCAGUAGAAAUCACUGAAAGGGAUUUUGUACUUAAAGACUUUUCUUUGAGCAAAUGUAUAAGCAAAAGUAACGAACCUUCUGUGAUGAGCACUAAGAGCCCUGAAAUAGUGGGGCUCCUAGCAGGACAAGAACAGCAUGGAUCACCCAGAAGAGCGUCUAGAAAGAACAUAGAUUAUUCUCUGAGCCACACUGCAUAGGCUUUUUAUCAGUUUUUUAGUGAGGAAGGACAAUAGCAGACCCACUCUAAACUCUUCAGUAUAAAGUUCAUUACGGUAUAGAUUCAGUCAUUCUUUUUUGUCUUUUAUCUUUAUGAAGUCAUAAGUGAACCAGGCUUUGUGCUAGACAUUGGAGACAUGGUGGAAAAGACAGACUCUGCCCACGUGGAGUUGAUGAUCCAAUAGGAGAGCCUGACAUUAACCAAGUAAUCACACAAAUGUCAUUGUGAGAUUUGGUAAGAGCUCAGAAGAAAUACGAAGUGGUCGGUGAAGAUGAUAUCAGGGACUUUGAGACCUGGAGGUCAGAGAGCUUUGUGAGAGAACAGCAGCAAUGCUUUGCCCUGAGGAUAAGGAGACAUUACCAGGGCAAGAGCUGUAGCACGUGGUGCCAGGGAACAGUGGGCUUAAAGACUCUGGAGUGGGGAAUGAGGGGUGUGGGCCCAGACCUGCACAGGGAGCAUGUCAGUGGGAUGGAGAACCUCAGGGGCAGGGCCAUGUUAGCAUCUUUGCCUUCUUCCAAAUACAGGGCAGUUCACUGAAGGUUUUAGACACACACAGUUGGUAUUGACAUACUCAAGACUGUGUUUUCAAUAGGCCCUUCCAGCUGCAGUGUGGAAAUGAGUUUGAGGGACUAGAAUGGAAAUGGAAAGUCCAUUCGGGGGGCUUUCAGCCUGCUGUUAGAGUCCAGGUUAUGGUGAGCACUACCAAACAGAAAGACCCCUUUGCUGAAUCGGGUCCCAGAAAGCCUCACGGUUGUCUGGGUGCUCCGCGUGCUCGAGUAGCAUCCAAACCGCAGGAGGCCACAUGACCACAGUGUGGGAGUGAACUUGGGUUAACAAACUUUGAUAUUGUAAUAAUUGCUUUUACCAAAUGAUUCUCAUCUUUAUGUAUUCUCACCUUUAUGUAAACACAUAAGAAAUGUGUAAUCAAAACCAAUGCUUUCUGCCUUUGUCAGUAUCCGGCUACUUCAAAGCAAAAUGUCCAAAAGCACAAAAGACUGAACUCUCGUUACCAGUCACCACCUUUUCUAUGGAACUUAGCUCAGUUGCCUUGAAGCUGCUUUGCUAGCAGGAAUCUGCUGCAAACUGUCCCCUUGCCGUAAAAAGCAGAGACAUGCUUUGCUUGCUUUGCUUAGUUCGAGGUCAUAGGUUCAGGGCUGCUUGUGCUUAUGGAAAACCCUAACUCGUCCCCUGCCCUAACCCACAGGACAUGCUUCGCUCAUCAGGCGCAGGUGGACGGUGUAGGCUGCUCUUGCUCACAGAAGACUGUGACUUAGCCCUUAGCUGGGAACAUCCGGGCUGCUUCACACGCUUAGAUUGAUUUCUGAUCAUUGUAUGGAGACUCUGUGGUGGUCUGGGUUUUCAUUAUCAAUUGUUUGGAACACUGUAACCUUGCUCAUGAUUGUUUGAGGCUUAAAAUAACCAUUUGUACUAUCAAUACUGUAACCUCUCUAAGUAUAAAUCAAGAUUAUAAUGGUUCUGUUUUUCCACAAACUGAAACUGCUGACCUGCAUCCUUGCACGUAUAUACCACGCCCCUUACUCACUCCUAUGAUGUAUUUCAUUUUGAUUCUUUGUUUGACUAUUCUCAAUAAAUACUAGAGCUCUGGAGGAGCUGGAGGAGCCAGUCUCCAGCUCCCUCUCAUUCUCUUGACCUGAUAAAGUCUUGAGUAAUUUCGUUCUUCCGCGGUGGGACUUUUGCUGGACAAAACCCAUGAUGAACAGAACCCAUAACUGGUGUCCCAUGUGAG